rnacentral:rRNA from 1 species
AUUGAACGCUGGCGGCAGGCCUAACACAUGCAAGUCGAGCGAGCGGCGGACGGGUGAGUAAUGUCUGGGAAACUGCCUGAUGGAGGGGGAUAACUACUGGAAACGGUAGCUAAUACCCCAUACCAUCAGAUGUGCCCAGAUGGGAUUAGCUAGUAGGUGGGGUAACGGCUCACCUAGGCGACGAUCCCUAGCUGGUCUGAGAGGAUGACCAGCCACACUGGAACUGAGACACGGUGCAGACUCUUACGGGAGGCAGCAGUGGGGAAUAUAGCACAAUGGGCGAAAGCCUGAUGCGGCCAUGUCGCGUGUGUGAAGAGGGCCUUCGGGGUGUAAAGCACUUUCAGCGUGGAGGCGUUACGCGCAGAAGAAGCACCGGCUAACUCCGUGCCAGCAGCCGCGGUAAGAC